GAAUUAGCUUGCUAAUUUGCUGACGAGUGGCGCACGGGUGCGUAACGCGUAUACAAUCUACCUUUUGCUGAGGGAUAGCCCAGAGAAAUUUGGAUUAAUACCUCAUGGUAUUAUUGAUAGGCAUCUAUUAAUAAUUAAAGGUUACGGCAAAAGAUGAGUAUGCGUCCCAUUAGCUAGUUGGUGAAGUAACGGUUCACCAAGGCAACGAUGGGUAGGGGUCCUGAGAGGGAGAUCCCCCACACUGGUACUGAGACACGGACCAGACUCCUACGGGAGGCAGCAGUGAGGAAUAUUGGACAAUGGGCGAGAGCCUGAUCCAGCCAUGCCGCGUGCAGGAAGACUGCCCUAUGGGUUGUAAACUGCUUUUAUACAGGAAGAAUAAGCCUUACGUGUAAGGUGAUGACGGUACUGUAAGAAUAAGGACCGGCUAACUCCGUGCCAGCAGCCGCGGUAAUACGUUGGGUCCGCGCGUUAUCCGGAAUUAUU
rnacentral:rRNA from 1 species